CCAAGUUUCAUCGGUCCCCAUCAUUUCUCCCAAAGAAGCUUACAAACGCUACAAAUGGUUCAUUAUGACUGAAUCGUUCCAUUUGAUUUGAUUUAUGACUUUUUUAUAAAGCUCCACCAAUUUUCCAGUUUAAAACGUUCCAUCCAUUUGAGCGAAAUGGAAUUCUGGUAUUGGUAGAUGAGAGAUUAUGAUUGUGAUGGGACAAAAGCAGAGAGUAACCAUGAAAGGUCACUUACAUUAAUAAUUGCACGGCAACUACAAUCAUAGAGUCACAAAGGAUAUAGAAAAUUUUCAAGUCCAGGCUCCACCCACGCCCAUAAAUAACUCCGAGGAUAGUGCGUCUGCAACGUGUUAAUGCAAGUCCGUUCACAACACAUACGAGGAUACGGCUGGACAGUAGCCCUGUGUGCGCGAAUAUCCCUCUCAUUUUGAACAAUCAUCUGGUUGCAAUUGAAAAUAGCAAAUACUAGCAAGGGCGUCCGCGCGAUGUUGCGAGUUUUAAAAUUAAGUUAAAUGCAUAUAAAGUCGUAAAAAUAUAUAGGAAACAUGAUUUUGUUUAUAUGUAUAUUGAGAUCUAAAUAGUGGUAUCAUACUUAGUUUAGUACGGUUAAGUUACAAAAAAUAAAUUAAUAAGAUGAUAUAUGUGUUGUUUGUUAUGUUAAAAUAUUGGCCCUAUUUAUAUAUAAAUUGAGAUCUAAACAGUGCCAUCAUGCUUAGUUUGGCAAGCUUAAGUUGUAAAAAAUAAACUAACAUGUUUUAUAUAAAAUAUUAUGCAUAUUUUAAUAUAUCAAGCAGCUAUUAAAACAUCAAAUAUGAGCAGCCUUGAGCUGCAUAUUGUUCAAAAAAAAUUGUACACUUGUAACCUACAGGGUUCACAUUGGGUGGAGUUGGAAUAAUAUGUCCAAAAACACUCCUUUUUUCUAAAGAAUUUAAUUCUGCCUGGAUUGCAUCUUUCCACUUAGGCCAAUCUUGCCUCUGUGUACAUUCAUUAAUAGAGCACGGUUCAAUAUCAUCAUCUUUUAUGAUUUCAACAGCCACUGAGAAUGCAAAUAUAUCAUCGAUGAUCAUCUCAGUUCUACUCCACAAUUCAUCAGUGGACGUAUAAUUUAUGGAGAUUUCUUGACUUUCAGGUACGGUUGCCACUCCAGGGGCACUUGUCUCACCAAUGAUGUUUUCCUUGUCAAGAAGUACCUGUCCUUCUUUGGGGACAUUUGCAUUAUGAAUUGUGGGCUCUCUAUUUAUUUCAUUUGGAUUCAUUUUGCCCAUCAACUUCCUCUUUCGAGGAACUGAAUCCCUUGAGCCUAGUGGUCUGCCACGCUUUAGGCGUGCAGCAGAUGAACCAUUUGCUGGCACAUUGCUUUGUCCAUUAUGGACAUCAAUCCGUGCGGGUGCAUUUGUAGCUGGGAUAUGAGAUUUUGUCACCUUUGCUGCAUCAUUAAAUGCAUCUGGCAUCUGAUUUGCAAUACUUUGGAGGUGAACGAUCCUUCUCACUUCGUUUUCGCAUUGAGCCGUAUGAGGAUCGAGAUGAGACAAUGUGGAUACAUUCCAUGAUAAUUCAUGUCGUUUUUCAGGAAUGAGUUUGCCUUGUUCUUUAGACACAGAUUUUUCUCCCCUAAUGGUGGGAAGAUUGUCUCAUCAAAAUCACAAUCCGCAAAUCGUGCGGUAAAAAUAUCACCCGUCAGGGGUUCUAAGUAUUUGAUGAUAGAUGGUGAAUCAAAACCAACAUAAAUUCCCAAUCUGCGUUGAGGGGCCAUCUUAGUACGUUGCGGUGGUGCAAUGGGCACAUAUACUGCACACCCAAAAAUUCUUAAAUGUGAAAUGUUUGGUUGAUUUCCCAAUACGAGUUGUAUUGGAGAACAUUGAUUGUUGGCAACAAGCCUCAAUCGCACAAGUGAUGCUGCAUGUAAAAUGGCAUAUCCCCAAGCAGAAAUUGGCAACUUUGUUUUCAUUAGCAAAGUGCGUGCUAUCAAUUGAAGGCUUUUAAUUAAAGCUUCUGCCAAGCCAUUUUGAGUAUGCACAUGGGGAACAGGAUGUUCAAUAUCAAUGCCUAGUGACAUGCAGUAGUCAUCAAAAGUCUAAGAUGUAAAUUCACCAGCAUUAUCGAGUCUGAUUGACUUAAUGGGAUAAUCUGGAAAUUGGGCUCGUAAUUUAAUUAUCUGAGCCAAAAGCCUAGCAAAUGCCAUAUUCCGAGUAGAUAAAAGACAAACAUGUGACCAUCGGGUAGAUGCGUCCACCAAGACCAUAAAGUACCGAAAUGGUCCACAUGGGGAUGAAUAGGUCCACAAAUGUCCCCUUGAAUUCUCUGCAAAAAUGAUGGAGACUCAACAUCAACCUUUGGUUGUGAUGGUCUGAUCACCAACUUCCCUUGUGAACAAGCUUGGCAAAAGAUGUCACUUGAUAACAUAAUGUGUUUAGUCAACAAGGGAUGUCCUUUAGAGUUGGUGAUGAUCUUGCGCAUCAUGGUGGAUCCAGGAUGACCCAACCUGUCAUGCCAAAGCUUAAAAGCAUUUGAGUCAAUGGACUCUUGGUCCAUGACACUAUGUGCCUCAAUUGUCCGUAUGGUUGUAUAAUACAACCCUGAUGAGAGCUCACAAAGCUUCUCCAGUAUACGCUUUUGGGUAUCACUGGAGGUAAUACAAAGAUAUUCCAUGUUUUCCUCUUUCUUUGUUUCAACAUGGUAGCCAUUCAAACGUAUAUCUUUGAAACUCAACAAAUUCCUUCUGGAGUUAGAUGAAUACAAAGCAUCUGGAAUGGACAGUAUUGUUCCAUUUGGUAACAUAAUUUGGGCUAUUCCUGAGCCUUCAAUCAGAUCUGCAGGACCUGAUAUGGUUGUUACCUUUGCUUUUGUAAGCAUUAAUUUUGAGAAAUACUUCCGAUCUUGAAGGAUCAUAUGAGUAGUCGCGCUGUCUGCGAGACAAAUAUCUUUGCCAUAGCCUUUGUUUUGAGGGCAUCCAUAAUUUACAUCCAUGCCUUCAAAUAAGUAAAAUAAGCUGAAUCAAUAAAGAAGAAAACAUUACCACUUUUAUUGGAUUGAAAUUUAAACAACACUUCAGCUAAUACAAAUAGUACAUUAAGGAAUUUAAUCUAAUUCGGACUCAUAACCUUCAUUCCCUCUUUCAGUAACAAAAUCAGAAACAUCUAUAUGCGUCUUGUUUAGCUGACGUGAUAUUUCUGAUGAGCCAUCUGUGGCUGGCGGAGCAUGAUCAAUGUAAUUUAUCUCCACUUUCCUGUUCUUAAGUGAAGCUUGAUAGAGAUCCGCCAAAUGCUUGGGUGUACGACAUGCGCGCACCCAAUGUCCCUUUGCACCACAUCUGUGACAAGGGCUUUCAACAUUUCUAGGCACAUGGCUCAUCUGUGCCUUUCCCUUAUUACGGGAUGCAUUUUUGCCAUUCGUGGAUGGACCGCUCCUUGGACCUAAACCCUCUGAACGAGCACCACGAUUUUUUCUACUUCCUUGCUAGUGGCCACGCUUGCCCCCUCGCCCACGUUUGUGGAUACUGCCACGAGAUGAAGUGGCAUUCACUUCUUGAGAUGCAGCAUUUAUUUCAGGAAGUGGUGCUGAGCCCGUUGGGCGAGAUUGGUGAUUCUUUAAUAAGAGCUCAUUAUUAUGCUCAGCUAACAAGAGGCAAGAUACAAGUUCCGAGUACUUCUUGAAACCGCUAUGUCUGUAUUGCUGUUGAAGGAGGACAUUUGAAGCAUGAAAAGUGCUCAGAGGUUUUUCGAGCAUAUCCUCCUCAGAUAUAUUUUCCCCACAUAGCCUCAUUAAUGAGGUAAUUCUGUGCAUAGCAGAGUUAUACUCGAACACUGACUUGAAAUCUUGAAAUCUCAAGUGGGUCCAUUCGUAUCUAGCUCUUGGGAGAGUCACCGUCUUCUGGUGAUCGUAUCUUUCACCUAGAGCUUUCCACAGAACCAACGGUUCAUCAACCACCACAUAUUCGCUCUUCAGCGCUUCAUGGAUGUGGCGGCUUAGAAAGAUCAUGGCCUUCGCAUUCUCUUCAGGCGAAGCAUCAUUCUCAUCUACAAUUGUUUGUCCGAGGCCAUUGGCUCGUAGAUGAAUUUUGGCAUCCAGGACCCAUGAUAAAUAGUUGUCCCUGGAAAGGUCCAAGGCAGCAAACUCUAGUUUUGCCAAAUUUGCCAUCCAAAACUUUAGGCUCGAGAUCUGGGACAUUAAGCCACUUAUUAAUAGGAAUUUUAGGCCCUCAUUAUUCAGGUAUAUUAAUUGAUGAUAAAAAUAAAGUGCUAUGAAUUUGCUGGUAUGGACGAUAAACCCGCAUCAUACCUUAAAUAAAAUUAAAUGUGCGGUAAAGUAAAUUCAUAAAGUAAAUUGCUUGCUGUAUGGACGUUAAUUCCGCACCAUACUUUAAAUAAAAGUAAAUAUGCGGUAAAGUAAAUUCCUAAAGUAUGAGGGUUAAUUCCACAUCAUACUUUUAAUAAAAGUAAAUGUGCAGUAAAGUAAAUUCAUAAAGUAUGAGGGUUAAUUCCACAUCAUACUUUUAAUAAAAGUAAAUGUGCGGUAAAGUAAAUUCAUAAAGUAUGAGGGUUAAUUCCACAUCAUACCUAAAGUAAGAGUAAAUGUGCUUGUAUGGGCACUAAUUCUGCUCCAUACUUUUUAAAUAAAAGUAAAGGCAGCUGUGUGGACGAUAAACUCGCGCCACACCUUUAAAUAAAUAUUGCCGUAUGGGUAAUAAACCUACACCAUACCAUAAAUAAAAUAAAUGUGGGGAUAAAAACCUCCACCUAAUAUAUAUGAAGUGCAUAAUAUAUCAUAUAUUGUGGGCAAUAUAACUGCGCCCCUAUUCAAGAUAUAAUAGAUGGGUUUUAAGAUCACACCAUCAUUUUAUUACAAUAAUUUGUGUUACAACGCGAUGGGUAAAAAAAAAUUACACCACCAUAAAAUAACAGGACGGAUUAAACAACAUAUAAAUUACAAAUUACGUUACAAAGAAGUAAAUUAAACAAGCAUGGAUUAAACAACAUAGAAAUUGUGAGAACACAAAAAAAAAAGUUUGCAUGUCGUUGUAGUAGUAAAGUGAGAGUAGACAUAUGACAGAGAGGAGACAGAGAAAUAACCACAUAGUGUUGAGUUGAAAAUUUUCAGAAAUAAAAGGAGAGACUAUCGUGCUGAUAACGUGUUAUAAAAUAACCUGAGAUAUGUGCGAAUUUUGAGCUGCAAGUAAAGUAGAUGAGACACAGCGUUUAACGAGGUUCGGCUAAGCCUACGUCCUCGGAGAGCAGCAGCAGUAACCUUUUCACUAAAUAAAAUAAUAUGGCUACAAAUUUAGAGUUUACAAUAUAUGAGGCUUACUGAAUUUUCUCUCUGCUCACUCACCCUCUUUCUUUCUUCUCUUCCUAUUUUCCUGCUCUUCUUUCUCUUCUGGUGGUCUUAUUUAUAGGCUGAGAAAAGAUACCCGUGAGUGUACUCGUGAGUGUGCAGGUGAUAAGCUUCAAAAAUAUGUUGCUUAAUUUCUUUGUGGGCCCCAUAAAUGUGGGCUCCACAUGUUUAUUCUUUACAACAAGAAAGCGCAAUGAGAAAAAUGAAAUCUCAAGGUAUAAAGCGCGACUCGUUGCGCAAGGUUUUUCACAAAGGCCUGGAAUUGAUUAUAUGGAAACAUACUCUCCAGUAAUGGACACAAUUACAUUCCGUUACUUAAUAAGUUUGGCGAUUUCAGAAAAACUUGAAAUGAGACUCAUGGAUGUCAUUACCGCAUAUUUGUAUGGAGAAUUGGAUACAGAUAUAUACAUGAAAGUUCAAGAAGGAUUCAGGUUGCCUGAAGCAGCCAGAAAUAAACCACGGGGCAUGUUCUCAGUUAAAUUUAGAAGAUCAUUAUAUGGGCUAAAACAAUCUGGACGAAUGUGGUACAAUCGUCUCAGUAAGUAUUUACUGAAGGAAGGAUACACAAAUGAUCCUAUUUGCCCAUGUGUGUUUAUUAAAAAAUCAGAGUCUGGAUUUGCGAUUGUGGCAGUAUAUGUCGAUGAUAUGAAUCUAAUUGGAACUUCUGAAGAGCUUCGAAGGACUGUUAAUUAUCUCAAACGUGAGUUUGAGAUGAAGGACCUUGGAAAGACAAAAUAUUGUCUUGGCUUGCAGAUUGAGGACAGUGCUAAUGGAAUUUUGGUGCAUCAAUCAACUUAUACUGAAAAAGUAUUGAAACGGUUUGGCAUGGAUAAAGCCCAUCCACUUAGCACUCCAAUGGUCGUUCGAUCGCUUGACACUAAGAAAGACCCAUAUCGUCCAAAAGGAAAUGAUGAAAUGGUCCUUGGUCCAAAAGUACCAUAUCUUAGUGCCAUAGGUGCUUUAUUGUACCUAGCACAAUGUACCAGACCAGACAUAUCAUUCUCAGUAAAUCUGUUAGCAAGGUACAGUUCUGCUCCAACAAAGCGACACUGGACCGGCAUCAAACAUGUUCUACGAUACCUUCGCGGGGCAACAGACAUGAGGUUAUUCUAUUCCAGUGAAUCGACCAACGUCCAGAGUAUUAUUGGUUAUGCUGAUGCAGGAUAUCUCUCUGAUCCACAUCAAGGACGAUCACAGACUGGGUAUGUAUUUACAUGUGGAGGAACUGCGAUCUCAUGGCGCUCAACGAAACAAACAUUAGUGGCCACAUCUUCCAAUCACUCAGAAAUACUUGCCCUCCAUGAAGCCAGUCGUGAAUGCGUUUGGUUAAGGUCAGUAAUCCAUCACAUCCGAAGCACAUGUGCCCUACCCUCAGCAACAGACACUCCAACAAUUCUGAAUGAAGACAAUGCAGCUUGUAUUGCUCAGAUCACAGGAGGAUAUAUCAAGGGUGACAGGACCAAGCACAUAUCACCAAAGUUUUUCUAUACACAUGAGCUCCAGAAGAGUCAAGAAAUCAAAGUCAGACAAAUCCGCUCAAGUGAUAACCUGGCAGAUCUCUUCACUAAAUCAUUGCCGAAAUAUACUUUCCAAAAGUUAGUGCAUGGCAUCGGAUUACGACAACUCUGCAAGCAAUCAAGUUGGAGCAUGCAAAAUCAGGGGGAGCAUUCAAGAGUCCUCUAACAUAGGACAUAUGCACGUUGUCCUCUUUUUCCUUCGCUUAGGUUUUUUCCCACUGGGUUUUUCUAAGCAAGGUUUUAAUGAGGCAACCAAUCUAAGGACAUGUGAUCUCCAAGGGGGAGUGUUGUAAAGAAUAAACAUGUGGAGCCCACAUUUAUAGGGCCCACAAAGAAAUUAAGCAACAUAUUUUGGAAGUUUAUCACCUGCACGCUCACGGGUACACUCACGGGUAUCUUUUCUCAGCCUAUAAAUAAGACCACCAGAAGAGAAAGAAGAGCAGGAAAAUAGGAAGCGAAGAAAGAAAGAGGGUGAGUGAGCAGAGAGAAAAUUCAGUAAGCCUCAUAUAUUGUAAACUCUAAAUUUGUAGCCCUAUUAUUUUAUUUAGUGAAAAGGUUACUGCUGCUGCUCUCCGAGGACGUAGGCUUAGCCGAACCUCGUUAAACGCUGUGUCUCAUCUACUUUACGUGCAGCUCAAAAUUCGCACAUAUCUCAGGUUAUUUUAUAACAGUACAGGCAUUUAUCUAUAUUUUAAUCGGUGGUGGGCAUGGAUUUUGCUUUUUUGAUGUUUCUUGCAAGGGCUAUUGCUGCAUUUGUUGUGUAGCUGGCUGAUGUUCCUUCUUCUCCAUUCAAGAGGUUUUAACUCUGAUGGAUAAAAGUAUAAGGUGAAUUUUAUUGAAUCAAUUGAAAAUAAACUGAAAACAAUUGUGACAAUUUUAAUAGAAUCAACUCAAGGGGUGUUGACCCUAUUGGUAUAAACUUGGUAAACGGUAGGUGUCCGUGUCGACAAAUGAGAAAAUUUGUGCAAAAACAAUGGCUAUUGUUAUAGAAUUAAGGCCAACAACACAUACUGCACAAACCACAAUUUAAAUGAUCUAAAAAUAUCUAAUAACCUAUAAACAGAAAUAAGAUGAUCUAGUGACCUAAUGAGCAAAUUUGUUAUAGAAGUAAGAUAAUCUAGUGGAGAAGUAAGCUAUAGAAGCAGCAAUGAUGUAUAAACAACUCUAUGUUAUAGAAGUAGAAUAAAGGUAGAGAUAAGACGCUAUAGGUUAUAGUUUUGUUAAUUAUAUUUAAAACAUUUAAUAACGAUGUUUCAAACUUCGACCAACAGAUCAAUAGUUGGGAAGGGAAAAAAUCUUUCAUGAAUUAAACUAUUAUUUCUUAAUUACAUCUAUAGCCUAGUGAAGCAAAAUGGACACACACCAACAAUAGCACAACUAUAGAAAUAAGAAUUUUCAAACAACGCAAUAUCCAAAAACUAAUUAAACAGAGCUUCUAUAGCCUAACCAAGCAAAACAGAUGUAAUCAAUAACAUUAAAUGACUGUGUGACUCCAUGAUACCACAAACAAAAAUUAGUGCAACCCCAACUCCUCUUACACCUCCAAACCUCAGACAAAGAAGCUCUCUGCAUGGUCAAAUUUUAUCUCAAUUGAAAUGUGUUUUGUGUUUUGCCAAUUUGUUCCAGAUAAUAGAGGUAGUGUUCAAACUUAGAAAGAGAGAAUAAUUAAAAUUCAGAAUUAGAAUUCAAAUAUUGGAGGUAGUGCUCAAACUUUGAACAUCUCUAACAUGACAUCACCAAAUCAGUAAAUAUUACAUAAAAUUAGUAUAAAAAAACAUGAACAGAAAAACAAAAAAUAAAAUAAGAAAGCAAAUAUUAACAACAAUAGAUCAUUACACAAUUUGUGUAAUUAGUGCCACAUGUGCUACAUCUUUAACAGUGUUUUGAUAUGUAGCCAACCUUUUUUUUAAAAAAAAUCUCAUCCUCAUUGUUAAAAAUUGAUGAUCUUUUCCCACUUUAAAGUUAUUUCCACUAUGAAUUGGAAAAAGAAAAAAAAAAACAUUUAUUAAAAAAAAGUUUUUUCACUAAAUGUAUUGCAAUACAUAACACAACAAUUUCUUUUGUUUCUAUAUAAUAUCCUAAUUUCCUUUGUUUCCAUGGAAAAUUGGCAUUUUUCAGAUAAGGAAAAGCCAGAGAACAAUUUCAUUAAGUAGAGUCUCAAUUGCAUUGCAUUGGACACUUGUUUUUUUUUUUUUUUUUUCAGGUUUAAUCCAAAAGAAACAGAAAGGAGGAGAAAUAUUAUGCAGAUAAGAUUCAAGUCUCUGACUGACAUAUUAAAAAAACACACACACUGAAAAGCAUUAUCCUGAACUGAAGCUUUCAAUUCCCAUAUCAAUAUCAAAUUCCAAAAAGUCCAACUUCUAAAAACAAAAUACAUAAAAACCAACCCAUGAAUCAAAACAGCAUAAAAAAUAGCCCCAAAAAAAACAGAGAAAAUUGCACCAAGAUCCAUGAUCCAUCUAUUUAUAAUUACUGUCACUCUAUAUAUUAGCUUGCUUUCAGAGCCUUCAACUGUCGAAUGAACAUCAAACCACUAAAAGAAAGAAAGUCUCUUGACAAAAAAUCUCCCAGUCAACAAACAAAUUCUUCAGAUGAAGACCAAAAUAUCUGUUAAAAAGUUUACGGGAUGCAUACCUGAAGACAAACGAUGCAAUGGACAACCAAGGGACAAAGCUCUAAUUGAAAACCUCUCAGACGAACUUUGGAAUGGCUGAACGAACUACAGGAGAGAUUAGAUGAAGACUAAACGAACGGUGAGAUUCGCAAAGCGCCAUCCCAAAUGGAAAUCGACGCCCCAAACGAAUCCCGAAGACCGAAGCCGUGCAUCACAUGGCGGCCCCGCAACCAGCCUAACCAAGCUGGUUGGAUACAGACGAUCGCCCUGUAGAAAAGUAACAGUGGGAAGAGUUAGCAUCCAAAG
rnacentral:lncRNA from 1 species